CACUCCUACGGGAGGCAGCAGUGGGGAAUUUUGGACAAUGGGCGAAAGCCUGAUCCAGCAAUGCCGCGUGAGUGAAGAAGGCCUUCGGGUUGUAAAGCUCUUUUGUCAGGGAAGAAACGGUGAAAGCUAAUAUCUUUUGCUAAUGACGGUACCUGAAGAAUAAGCACCGGCUAACUACGUGCCAGCAGCCGCGGUAAUACGUAGGGUGCAAGCGUUAAUCGGAAUUACUGGGCGUAAAGCGUGCGCAGGCGGUUUUGUAAGUCUGAUGUGAAAUCCCCGGGCUCAACCUGGGAAUUGCAUUGGAGACUGCAAGGCUAGAAUCUGGCAGAGGGGGGUAGAAUUCCACGUGUAGCAGUGAAAUGCGUAGAUAUGUGGAGGAACACCGAUGGCGAAGGCAGCCCCCUGGGUCAAGAUUGACGCUCAUGCACGAAAGCGUGGGGAGCAAACAGGAUUAGAUACCCGUGUAGUCCCAUG
rnacentral:rRNA from 1 species